rnacentral:misc_RNA from 1 species
CGCACCUUGCGCUCCUUGGUAUUCCGAGGAGCACACCUGUUCGAGUAUCGUGAAAUUCUCAAGCUGGAUGGCUUUAUUGCUGUCUCAGUUUGGUUUUGGGCUCUGCCGUCUCCUCUUCUGGAACGGCUGGCCUUAAAAGUAUUAGCUGACCCUCGUUUGUGGGAUUGGUUCUACUCAGCGUGAUAAUCUUAUGACCGCUGAGGACAUCUUUCGAGAUGGCCAGUGCUACCUUGGAUCGCUUCUAAUCCUGGCGCUCGGAGUUCGUCUCCGAGCCCAUCAUUUUCAACUUUGAUCUCGAAUCAGGUGGGACUACCCGCUGAACUUAA